rnacentral:rRNA from 1 species
AACAAACGCUGGCGGCGUGUCUAAUACAUGCAAGUCGAACGGGGAAAGCUUUCGGGUGAGUACUAGUGGCGCACGGGUGAGUAACGCGUGGAUAAUCUGCCUUAGAGUGGGGGAUAACUAGUCGAAAGAUUAGCUAAUACCGCAUAAGACCACAAGAACUGCGGUUCAAGGGGUCAAAGGUUUUUCGCUCUAAGAUGAGUCCGCGUAAGAUUAGCUAGUUGGUAGGGUAACGGCCUACCAAGGCGACGAUCUUUAACUGGUCUGAGAGGAUGAUCAGCCACACUGGAACUGAGACACGCUCCAGACUCCUACGGGAGGCAGCAGUAGGGAAUAUUGCACAAUGGAGGAAACUCUGAUGCAGCGACGCCGCGUGAGUGAUGAAGGCCUUCGGGUCGUAAAGCUCUGUCGCAGGGGAAUAACACAAUGAAGGUACCCUGUAAGAAAGGAUCGGCUAACUUCGUGCCAGCCGCCGCAGUAACAC